UGGGGAAUUUUGGACAAUGGGGGAAACCCUGAACCAGCCAUCCCGCGUGUGCGAUGAAGGCCUUCGGGUUGUAAAGCACUUUUGGCAGGAAAGAAACGUCAUGGGUUAAUACCCCGUGAAACUGACGGUACCUGCAGAAUUAGCACCGGCUAACUACGUGCCAGCAGCCGCGGUAAUACGUAGGGUGCAAGCGUUAAUCGGAAUUACUGGGCGUAAAGCGUGCGCAGGCGGUUCGGAAAGAAAGAUGUGAAAUCCCAGAGCUCAACUUUGGAACUGCAUUUUUAACUACCGGGCUAGAGUGUGUCAGAGGGAGGUGGAAUUCCGCGUGUAGCAGUGAAAUGCGUAGAUAUGCGGAGGAACACCGAUGGCGAAGGCAGCCUCCUGGGAUAACACUGACGCUCAUGCACGAAAGCGUGGGGAGCAAACAGG
rnacentral:rRNA from 1 species